UCUGAAGAUCCUUCCUUGGUGGAGUUGCUCCCUGUGAACCUGUAGUCUCCUGAUAGGGGAGAGACCAGAGUGUUUUAACUGCCAACAUCCUGACAAAGUUCAUGGGUCCUGGCUAAUCUGGAGCAAAACUCUGAGGAUCACAUUCAGUCUGGUCUCGGGAGGAGGUGCACUUCAAAGAUGCAUUAAAUCUUGUAUAUGUGCUUCUGUACAUGCUGACACAAUUCACUGUAGCCUUUGACAGCUCCUUCAGAUUCUUCAAGAAGCUUAUGGCAGAGAGAUCAAGCAAGGCAUUUGCCAUGUAAAGAAAUGCGGAAGAUAGGAUUCUCUAGAGAGAAGAUCAACGUCCUUUUGAGGAAAGGAGCUCCCCAAAGCGAGAACCUAUGGAUUAUGAACAAGACAUGAGAUGAUUCAGACAGAGUAACUAUCAAAUGGAGAAGGAGCUGUUCAACACUUUCAUAUCUAGUUCCAGUUAUUAGCUCGUGAGCACAACACGGUACCAUACUGUGACUUGGGAUACGAAGGCAAGUUACAGAAAUAAGCAAAUAAACAACAUGUUGUUUCUCAUGCUCUUCAGUGCAUUGGACUGUUAACUUUGAUGUAAGACAGUGGAUCUCAACUUGCAGUAUGUCUAUGGAGUUCCUAAGUGCUAGACAGAAAGUAAAUAAAGAUGUUGCUUCUUAUGAUAUGUAUGUUUAGGUACCAAGACAAAUAUUUACUCUAUCAACCAGGGAACUCUGUUUAAAAGAUCAUCUUCAAGCAUGAAUUACUUCAUUGUGAAAGCAAACCUCCUCUCCACCAUGGCACUGUUAGUACUGUUAUUUCUCACGUGGACUCAGACACAGCAAAACUCUUAAGCAAGCACAUACCAGCAUUUAUUUCUAGUUGUGAAUUUUUAGUAUUCAGAGAUAUUCUGCUUUCUGUGAGCCUUGUCAUUAUCAUUAACAAUGUGCUUAAGCACUUGAUUACUUUGCUCCUCCUCCAAACACUGCAGAGCUCAGUAGGAAAAGUUGCAGAUUGCUCUGAGUGAUCCUAGACUACAUGCAUAACAUCUAACGUUACCUGAGCAUUUUUAUUUCAAGAACCUAUACUUUGCAGCCUAAUAUUUUCAAAGAACACAUUCCUACUUCAGAAUGCAUUCAAGUGUGUUUAUUGUUCCUAUUGAAUUUGAUUAUUUUGGAACGUUUGUGCUUCAGACAGAGAAAUGUACAGUGGAGAUAUGAUGAAUGCUUUUGAGUCUGUGCCCAAAGCAUUUCAUGAAUCAUGAAUGCUUCUACUUCCUCCUGAAUGCUUUAUUUUCUGUAUAGGCUGCCAUAUCAUAUAAAAGAGAAACUUGUUAGUAAGCCUCAUCUACAAAGGGUGCUCUGAAAGUAGUGCCUCCUAUUUUAUUAUUUUGGCACAAUAUCAGAGCUGGAUGUUUGGUGAACGAUAGCAAAGA